GAGAGAGAGAGAGAGAGAGAGGGAGGGAGAGAGAAGCAAUUUUCGAGCUUGGAUCGCGAUUGGUUCGGUAAAUUUCAAUUUUAAUCGGUUAAAAGUUAUGUUUUACUCCUAGUUCAUAGUUUUGGGUAGAAUUUUGUUGAACCAUAUUCGUAUUACCGUGUUUUAUGUUAGGGUUUUAAGGUGAAUUUGGGGAAAGAUCCAAGAUUUGCUUCCUACGGAAGAAAAAUUCAAGUAGUUCUCGACCGAGGCUUAGCAGUCGGCAACCUCCUCACCCGCAACAAUAGGCGACAAAUGGUGGUCUGUUUUUCUGACGUGGUCUUCUCCUCUAACCGAGGCUUAGCAGACGGUGACCUCCUCACCCUCUCGUCUCUCUGUACCUCUCUCUCCAGCGUGGGUUGUUUCUCAUUCGAUGAAGCUCAAUGACGAACAAAGCUACGACAGCAACUCCAACAAUGGCAUCCCCUGAUCUCCCUUUUCCCGGCGAGGCAAGGCACUCUGGCGGUAGCGCGAACGGUCCAUUUCGGUGGGCGAGGCAAGACUGUGAGAGCUUCCCUCCUGGUUUCGGCGACGCAAGGCAGCAGCGACGGGGCUGGAAUCUCCAGUAGGUUCAGCAGAUCGACGGUAGCAGCGGCAUGGACUCCUCGACGGCGAACGGUGGCGGCGUCUCCCUCCUCUGUUUUCGGUUGUUCUUCUUCUCGGCGAAGGCUUCAGCGAACAGAGGAUGAAGGCAGAUUCAAGAUGGAUUAGAAUGACUAAUAAGGUAAUUAUCUGUUUAAUUAUGGUGAAGAUUGAAUGGAUUAUAUGUUAAUGAAGAUUAAUUAAGGAAAAA